rnacentral:tRNA from 1 species
GCCAGUGUGGCAUAGUGGUUUGAGUGUUGGACUAUGACUCUGGAGACCAGGAUUUGAAUCCCCACUCUGCCA